rnacentral:rRNA from 1 species
GAUUAUGCGGUUUAAUUCGAUGAUAAACGAAGAACCUUACCAAGGUUAGAAAUCAACGUGAAAGCCCUGAGAAACCAGGGCCCUCGCAAGACUAGUUGACAGGUGAUGCAUGGCCGUCGUCAGUUCGUGGUUUGAAUUGUUCCCUUAAGUGGGGUAACGAACGCAACCCUCGUCGUGUGUUAUAAGUGUCACACGAGACUGCCCCGACCCAAGCGGAUAAAAGUUGAAAGUUAAAAGUUCAUAAAGUUCAUAAAGUAAAAUGCAUUUUGCAUUCACUUUAUAACUUUACACUUUAUAAAACUUUAUAACUAUUUGUACGUUUCGGUCGGGGAGGAAGGGGAGGAUGACGCCAGGUCAGCAUGUCCCUUGAUACCUUGGGCUACACACAUAAUACAAUCGCAAUUACAACGGGCAGCGACGGGGUAACCCUGAGCGAAUCCUAUAAAAAUUGCGCCAGUUCGGAUUGGGGGCUGCAACUCGACCCCAUGAAGUUGGAAUUACUAGUAAUCGCGGGUCAGACAUACCGCGGUGAAUACGUUCUCAANNAGUCUUGUACUCACCGCCCGUCAAUUCAAGGGAGCCGGGAAUACUCGAAAUCUCUCCAGAAGGAGGGCCUACAGUAAGCUCGGUGACAGGGAAUAAGUCGUAACAAGGCACGGGUAGCGGAAGCUGUUCGUGGAAU